AGCGAACGCUGGCGGCAGGCCUAACACAUGCAAGUCGAACGAACUCUUCGGAGUUAGUGGCGGACGGGUGAGUAACACGUGGGAACGUGCCUUUAGGUUCGGAAUAACUCAGGGAAACUUGUGCUAAUACCGAAUGUGCCCUUCUGGGGAAAGAUUUAUUGGCUUUAGAGCGGCCCGCGUCUGAUUAGCUAGUUGGUGAGGUAAAGGCUCACCAAGGCGACGAACAGUAGCUGGUCUGAGAGGAUGAUCAGCCACAUUGGGACUGAGACACGGCCCAAACUCCUACGGGAGGCAGCAGUGGGGAAUCUUGCGCAAUGGGCGAAAGCCUGACGCAGCCAUGCCGCGUGAAUGAUGAAGGUCUUAGGAUUGUAAAAUUCUUUCACCGGGGACGAUAAUGACGGUACCCGGAGAAGAAGCCCCGGCUAACUUCGUG
rnacentral:rRNA from 1 species